rnacentral:rRNA from 1 species
UGGGGAAUAUUGCACAAUGGGGGGAACCCUGAUGCAGCGACGCCGCGUGAGUGAAGAAGGUUUUCGGAUCGUAAAGCUCUGUUGUAAGUCAAGAACGAGUGUGAGAGUGGAAAGUUCACACUGUGACGGUAGCUUACCAGAAAGGGACGGCUAACUACGUGCCAGCAGCCGCGGUAAUACGUAGGUCCCGAGCGUUGUCCGGAUUUAUUGGGCGUAAAGCGAGCGCAGGCGGUUUGAUAAGUCUGAAGUUAAAGGCUGUGGCUCAACCAUAGUUCGCUUUGGAAACUGUCAAACUUGAGUGCAGAAGGGGAGAGUGGAAUUCCAUGUGUAGCGGUGAAAUGCGUAGAUAUAUGGAGGAACACCGGUGGCGAAAGCGGCUCUCUGGUCUGUAACUGACGCUGAGGCUCGAAAGCGUGGGGAGCGAACAGGAUUAGAUACCCUGGUAGUCCACGCCGUAAACGAUGAGUGCUAGGUGUUGGAUCCUUUCCGGGAUUCAGUGCCGCAGCUAACGCAUUAAGCACUCCGCCUGGGGAGUACGACCGCAAGGUUG